rnacentral:rRNA from 1 species
AACGAACGCUGGCGGCAGGCCUAACACAUGCAAGUCGAGCGCGCCCUUCGGGGUGAGCGGCGGACGGGUGAGUAACGCGUGGGAACGUGCCCUUUUCUACGGAAUAGCCUCGGGAAACUGAGAGUAAUACCGUAUACGCCCUUUGGGGGAAAGAUUUAUCGGAAAAGGAUCGGCCCGCGUUGGAUUAGGUAGUUGGUGGGGUAAUGGCCUACCAAGCCGACGAUCCAUAGCUGGUUUGAGAGGAUGAUCAGCCACACUGGGACUGAGACACGGCCCAGACUCCUACGGGAGGCAGCAGUGGGGAAUCUUAGACAAUGGGGGCAACCCUGAUCUAGCCAUGCCGCGUGAGUGAUGAAGGCCUUAGGGUUGUAAAGCUCUUUCAGAUGGGAAGAUAAUGACGGUACCAGCAGAAGAAGCCCCGGCUAACUCCGUG